AGAACACCCUUUCAGUCAGCAUGACUGGAACUUUGAUCAACAAAUCCCCAAGAGCCACAACCCGUCUUUUGUGAACAAGUAGUAUCAAGGUGGGGGUGGGCUUGGAGUGCACUGGAUGCUUUUCUUCUUUCAUCAUGAAACCUGGUGGUUUUGUGUCAUGUGAUAUGUUUUUCAGAGAUUCGGCAGGAAGCUUGCACCGAGUGAAGGAUUUAUAAAGAUUAUAGGAGAUAACACAAAGCUAUUUUAUCUCUUUAAAAAAAAUCAAAGGUAUUAAAUUUUUUUCUACUUCAUUUUUGUUUCCUCAUUUAAAAAUUAGCUGCCACAAAUAUUAUCCCCCAUCUGGGCACAAGGUCAGUUGGCAUACAAUUUUCUUCUUAAUUUUCAUUUUCUGGAUUCCUUGAUGACCUGAUUUUGUACAAAUUCAUGCUGCAGAGAUAAGGAUUGAUUGGCUACAAAUCAAGGAUCUCUGCAGAAUGGGAAUGAGAGACAAAGGAAGAGGAAGAGGACGGACACCACAAACCAUCUUAUCUUUUCAAAAUGUGAUUGGUGCAUUUCCAACAUUGGCUUACCUUUCCUUAUGCUGUCCAUAAAUUUUGUGCAGGUGUAAGCUCAUCCUACACAUGUCAUUUGGACCAGACCAAGGCUGCUGUCAUGGAGGACCCACACCACAGCUUGGGAACCAUUCAUCUACCAGAGGGUCACAUGACUUCAAAUGACUCUUCUAGGGGCCACCUGCCAUGAUAGGGUACCAGCUCUUCCUCUGAAUUCCCAAUCCAUUUCUUGAGAACUACUGUUUCUAAUAAGAGUUUUUGUUCCAUGUGAGAUACCCACGCCACUUUAAAAAACAAACUAUCCUGACAUCUAAUUACUUUGUGAAUGAUUGUAAUGGCAAUAACAAUAGAGAUGGAAGAAUUUUGGAAACAAUACUAGUUUCACAGCUUUCAUGUGAGAUGCCAAGGUUUUAGCAUCGUCAGAUUGGCAAUGAGAUUGGAUAACUUCUGGGGUCUUUUUGAAAUUAUAUCUUUCUUUUCUCUAGGAUCCUACUUCUGGAAAAUAAGAUUAAUACUAAUACUAAUAAGACACAAAGAUUUUUAAUGGAAAUAGGAAUAUCUUCAAAGGCUGGAUGGACAUUGCAUGCACUGUAUGACAACAUUCGUGUAUAAUAAGAUCCUUUCCUUAGAGAAUGGGGCAAAUCCAGAUGGAAUGUGAGAAAGACUUCAAGGUUUCAGUGGAAUAUGCUUAUAUUGGGAAUUGUAUUAGUUAAGACUAGGUUUGGCUGCACAUGACAGAAAACCCAACAUAGUCACUUACACAGGAUUAAAACAUUUCCUUGUCAUAUGAAAGUCUAGAAGUGGUAUGUAGCUCUGGGUGUCAGGGAUGAAGAUUCCUUCUAACUGGGAACCCAGCUUCCCAUUUCAAAGAUUGCUUCAUAUUCAAAAUGGCUGCUGGGUCUCCAGGUAUAGAGUCCACCUUCCAGCUAGAAGAACAAAGAACCAAAAUGAGGCGUGUUCUCCCCUGUAAGGAUACUUUCGUAAGUUGAAUAGGAUGCUUUCAUAAGCAUCUCAUUGGCCAGACUGGUUAGAACUUAGUAACUGGCCACAAUCAGCUGGAAAGAAGGCUGGCAAAUAGAAUAUUUAAG
rnacentral:lncRNA from 1 species